rnacentral:pre_miRNA from 1 species
UCUUACGGAUGGGUAAAAAAAGUGGUUUCUUGAGAUGAAUCCACUCCCGGUGAAGAUGCUGUGAA